rnacentral:rRNA from 1 species
AACGAACGCUGGCGGCAUGCCUAACACAUGCAAGUCGAACGAGACCUUCGGGUCUAGUGGCGCAAGGGUGCGUAACGCGUGGGAACCUGCCCUUAGGUUCGGAAUAACUCCCCGAAAGGGGUGCUAAUACCGGAUAAUGUCUUCGGACCAAAGAUUUAUCGCCUUUGGAUGGGCCCGCGUUGGAUUAGCUAGUUGGUAGGGUAAAAGCCUACCAAGGCGACGAUCCAUAGCUGGUCUGAGAGGAUGAUCAGCCACACGGGGACUGGGACACGGCCCAGACUCCUACGGGAGGCAGCAGUGUGGAAUAUUGGUCAAUGGGUGAAAGCCUGAUCAAGCAAUGCCGCGUGAGUGAUGAAAGCAUUAGGGUUGUAAAGCUCUUUUACCCGGGAUGAUAAUGACAGUACCGGGAGAAUAAGCGCCGGCUAACUCCGUG